rnacentral:rRNA from 1 species
UACGGAGGGGGCAAGCGUUGUCCGGACUUACUGGGCGUAAAGCGUGCGUAGGUGGUGAGUUAAGUCUGUCGUGAAAGCCCCGGGCUCAACCUGGGAAUGGCGAUGGAUACUGGCUCGCUAGAGUGCGGUAGAGGAGAGUGGAAUUCCCGGUGUAGCAGUGAAAUGCGUAGAGAUCGGGAGGAACAUCAGUUGCGAAGGCGGCUCUCUGGACCAGCACUGACACUGAGGCACGAAAGCGUGGGGAGCAAACAGG